ACCCACUAUGCUUAGUCGUAAACUUAAAUAAUCCUAAAACAAGAUUAUUCGCCAGAGUACUAUCGGCAACAGCCCAAAACUCAAAGGACUUGGCGGUGCUUCAUAUCCUUCUAGAGGAGCCUGUUCUGUAAACGAUAAACCACGAUUAACCUCACCAAUCCUUGCUACUUCAGUCUAUAUACCGCCAUCUUCAGCAAACCCUAAAAAAGGAACGAAAGUAAGCACAACUACUGCACGUAAAAACGUUAGGUCAAGGUGUAACCUAUGGAUUGGGAAGAAAUGGGCUACAUUUUCUAUAAUAAGGAACACCCCUUAAACUCACACGAAAGUUUUUAUGAAACCUAAAAACUAAAGGAGGAUUUAGCAGUAAUUAAGAAUAGAAUGCUUAAUUGAAUAAGGCCAUGAAGCACGCACACACCGCC
rnacentral:rRNA from 1 species